UGAUCUACAGCAAGGCAUCGGGAAU
rnacentral:piRNA from 1 species